GCUUAGAGUUUGCUUCUGGCUCAGAUUGAACGCUGGCGGCAGGCCUAACACAUGCAAGUCGAGCGGUAGAGAGGUGCUUGCAUCUCUUGAGAGCGGCGGACGGGUGAGUAAUGCCUAGGAAUCUGCCUAGUGGUGGGGGAUGACGUUCGGAAACGGACGCUAAUACCGCAUACGUCCUACGGGAGAAAGCGGGGGAUCUUCGGACCUCGCGCCAUUAGAUGAGCCUAGGUCGGAUUAGCUAGUUGGUGAGGUAAUGGCUCACCAAGGCGACGAUCCGUAACUGGUCUGAGAGGAUGAUCAGUCACACUGGAACUGAGACACGGUCCAGACUCCUACGGGAGGCAGCAGUGGGGAAUAUUGGACAAUGGGCGAAAGCCUGAUCCAGCCAUGCCGCGUGUGUGAAGAAGGUCUUCGGAUUGUAAAGCACUUUAAGUUGGGAGGAAGGGUAGUAACCUAAUACGUUGCUGCUUUGACGUUACCGACAGAAUAAGCACCGGCUAACUUCGUGCCAGCAGCCGCGGUAAUACGAAGGGUGCAAGCGUUAAUCGGAAUUACUGGGCGUAAAGCGCGCGUAGGUGGUUCAGCAAGUUGGAUGUGAAAGCCCUGGGCUCAACCUGGGAACUGCAUCCAAAACUACUGAGCUAGAGUACGGUAGAGGGUAGUGGAAUUUCCUGUGUAGCGGUGAAAUGCGUAGAUAUAGGGAGGAACACCAGUGGCGAAAGGCGACUACCUGGACUGAUACUGACACUGAGGUGCGAAAGCGUGGGGAGCAAACAGGAUUAGAUACCCUGGUAGUCCACGCCCUAAACGAUGUCAACUAGGUGUUGGGGAAGGAGACUUCUUUAGUACCGCAGCUAACGCGUGAAGUUGACCGCCUGGGGAGUACGGUCGCAAGAUUAAAACUCAAAGGAAUUGACGGGGACCCGCACAAGCGGUGGAUUAUGUGGAUUAAUUCGAUGCAACGCGAAAAACCUUACCUACCCUUGACAUGCCAGGAACCCUGCUGAGAGGCGGGGGUGCCCGAAAGGGAACCUGGACACAGGUGCUGCAUGGCUGUCGUCAGCUCGUGUCGUGAGAUGUUGGGUUAAGUCCCGCAACGAGCGCAACCCUUGCCAAUAAUUGCCAUCAUUCAGUUGGGCACUUUAUUGGGACUGCCGGUGAUAAACCGGAGGAAGGUGGGGAUGACGUCAAGUCCUCAUGGCCCUUAUGGGUAGGGCUUCACACGUAAUACAAUGGUCGGUACAGAGGGUUGCCAAGCAGCGAUGCGGAGCCAAUCCCAGAAAGCCGAUCGUAGUCCGGAUUGUUCUCUGCAACUCGAGAGCAUGAAGUCGGAAUCGCUAGUAAUCGCGGAUCAGCAUGUCGCGGUGAAUACGUUCCCGGGUCUUGUACACACCGCCCGUCACACCAUGGGAGUGGAAUCUGCCAGAAGUAGGUAGCCUAACCGCAAGGAGGGCGCUUACCACGGUGGGUUUCAUGACUGGGGUGAAGUCGUAACAAGGUAACCGUAAAGC
rnacentral:rRNA from 1 species